AACCAGUACCGUGAGGGAAAGGUGAAAAGCACCCCGGAAGGGGAGUGAAAUAGAACCUGAAACCGUGUGCUUACAAGUAGUCAGAGCCCGUUAAUGGGUGAUGGCGUGCCUUUUGUAGAAUGAACCGGCGAGUUACGAUUUGAUGCAAGGUUAAGCAGUAAAUGUGGAGCCGUAGCGAAAGCGAGUCUGAAUAGGGCGUUUAGUAUUUGGUCGUAGACCCGAAACCAGGUGAUCUACCCUUGGUCAGGUUGAAGUUCAGGUAACACUGAAUGGAGGACCGAACCGACUUACGUUGAAAAGUGAGCGGAUGAACUGAGGGUAGCGGAGAAAUUCCAAUCGAACCUGGAGAUAGCUGGUUCUCUCCGAAAUAGCUUUAGGGCUAGCCUCAAGUGAUGAUUAUUGGAGGUAGAGCACUGUUUGGACGAGGGGCCCCUCUCGGGUUACCGAAUUCAGACAAACUCCGAAUGCCAAUUAAUUUAACUUGGGAGUCAGAACAUGGGUGAUAAGGUCCGUGUUCGAAAGGGAAACAGCCCAGACCACCAGCUAAGGUCCCAAAAUAUAUGUUAAGUGGAAAAGGAUGUGGCGUUGCCCAGACAACUAGGAUGUUGGCUUAGAAGCAGCCAUCAUUUAAAGAGUGCGUAAUAGCUCACUAGUCGAGUGACACUGCGCCGAAAAUGUACCGGGGCUAAACAUAUUACCGAAGCUGUGGAUUGUCCUUUGGACAAUGGUAGGAGAGCGUUCUAAGGGCGUUGAAGCAUGAUCGUAAGGACAUGUGGAGCGCUUAGAAGUGAGAAUGCCGGUGUGAGUAGCGAAAGACGGGUGAGAAUCCCGUCCACCGAUUGACUAAGGUUUCCAGAGGAAGGCUCGUCCGCUCUGGGUUAGUCGGGUCCUAAG
rnacentral:rRNA from 1 species